AUAAUUUUAAGUUAUAAAGACUAUUAAUUUUCAAAAUUAAAAGGAUACUUAUUUAAAAGUAUAAAUUAUA
rnacentral:tRNA from 1 species